rnacentral:rRNA from 1 species
GACGAACGCUGGCGGCGUGCUUAACACAUGCAAGUCGAACGAAGUGGCGAAAGGUUGAGUAAUACGUGGUUAACCUGCCCUACUUUUUGGGAUAAGCAUGGGAAACGGGGUCUAUUAUCUAAUAAAGGGGGUCGGGCUCGCGGCCUAUCAGCUGGUUGGUGGGGUGGUGGGCUACCAUGGCGGUGACGGGCAGCCGGCCUGAGAGGGUGCCCGGCGCCAUUAGAACUCGGAUACGGCCCAUGCUCCUGCGUGAUGCAGCAAUGGGGGAUAUUGCACAAUUUACUAAAGCCUGAUGCAGCGACGCCGCGUGGGGGGUGAAGGCUUUCAGGUUGUAAACCUCUUUCGCUAUCGAACCGGUAGGUGGAGAAGAAGCGCCGGCUAACUCCGUGCCAGCAGCCGCGGUAAUAC